rnacentral:rRNA from 1 species
GAUCCUGGCUCAGGAUGAACGCUAGCGGCAGGCCUAAUACACGCAAGUCGAGGGGCAGCGCAGUAGCAAUACUGGCGGCGACCGGCGCACGGGUGCGUAACACGUAUGCAACCUACCUUCAACUGGAGGAUAAGCCCCGGGGGAAAACUCGGAUUAAUACUCCAUAACACAGGGAUCCCGCAUGGGAAUAUUGUUAAAGCUACGGCGGUUGAAGAUGGGCAUGCGUUCGAUUAGCUAGUUGGUGUAGGUAACGGCUCACCAAGGCUACGAUCGGUAGGGGGUCUGAGAGGAUGAUCCCCCACACUGGUACUGAGAUACGGACCAGACUCCUACGGGAGGCAGCAGUAGGGAAUAUUGGUCAAUGGGCGCAAGCCUGAACCAGCCAUGCCGCGUGCAGGAAGAAGGCCCUCUGGGUUGUAAACUGCUUUUGAUAGGGAACAAAUGCCACUUGCGAGUGGAGCUGAGUGUACCUAUAGAAUAAGCACCGGCUAACUCUGUG